GUUCUUUGUUUAUGUAAAGAAUAAUGUCUGCCCAAUGAUUUUUAAAUGGCCGCAGAAUUUGUGUUAAGGUAGCAUAAUAAUUAGUCUUUUAAUUGGAGACUGGAAUGAAUGGCGUGACGGGGAAAUACUGUCUUUAAUUUAGUUUUUAAAUUUUACUUUUAAGUUAGAAGGCUUAAAUUUAAUAGAGUGACGAUAAGACCCUAUAAAGUUUUAUAAUUUAAUUUUUUGAUUUUCUGUUUAAUUUUUUGAAUUAUUUUACUGGGGCGGUAUUUUAAAUUACUUAGAUAAAUAUUAAUUAAUUUGAUUUUAUUUUGAUCUUUUAUUAUUAAUUAUUAGAAUAAAUUACUUUAGGGAUAACAGCAUAAUAAAUUUAUAAAGAUCUUAUUUGUAAAUUUGAUUUUGACCUCGAUGUUGGAUUAAUUUUACUUAUUGGUGAAGUAGCUAAUAUAGUUAGUCUGUUCGACUAUUAAUAAAUUACA
rnacentral:rRNA from 1 species